AAAAAGGAAAAUAGUUAUCCUAAAAACGGACGGGUGGGCAAUUGGACAGAAGCCAUCAGAGGGUCUGCAAUAGAAUAGGAACUGAAAGUGGAGAUACCAUAAAUUGAUAGGAUUUGUAUCAACUUAUUGCUGCGCCACCUGCCGGCAGAGAAGGGUAUCGAAUACUAGUUAUAUCGCCAUGCGCUAGGUGUCGCCAGGGAGCAAUAAAUAAUUUACAUUACUCAACCAGUUGACUUAUUGAGCAAUAGGAAAAUCUAAAGACAGUGGAAGUCGUAUCGUGGAAUGUAAUUCAAACGCAAUUUUCCCUAUAAACCCAAUAGAGCGAAUCGUAUAUUUAAUUUCCGCUCAAAAUAUAACAUAAAUUUACAUACGCACAUUGGAGGCAAACGUUAUGGCGUAUCUCCUUGGGAACACCUGUGCGCCGAGGGGAAUGUGUGAAAAAGUUGGUCAGAAGAUCUCAAGAAGCGCACUUCCGUUCUGGACUAGGUAAUAACCGUGAAUGGCUAAAAAGACAGUAGUACAUGGUAGCAGUUAGUAGUUGCAACCCCAGAAAAUGACUGGCUGGCUUUUCCACAAUAUUUCGGAAGGGGGUCCAGCGGAGCGCAACCUUGUAGAAGGUGUGCGGACCCUACAGACCCUUUCAUUCAGAGGGCCAAAACCAGAGCGACAUAAUUGUUGCGCAACUAGGCGAAGCCAACUCACUGAUUUUCCCAUGAGGAGUUCGACCAUAAAAUGUGGGAAAAUAAACUCUCGGAUAUGAUUGACACUGGGUCUGGGGGUCUCUUUCGACUCUGUUAGACUCUGCCCAUGGCAAUGGCUUCAUUAUGCUGAACAGUUGAAAAUUGCACUUCGUGCUGGCGGAUUUCGAAUUUAUUUCGCUUUAAUGUGUGGCGCUGCCUGUGGGCCCCGAAAAUCCCAGUUAGUUGCUCGGUGGAAGCCAAGGUGAGACCGCUAAACAAUCGGCCAGUAAGUUGUUCUUCUACGGGUUAUAUUUCACCCGCGCACUGAGAAAAACAAGGAAGGUAGUCAUAAAAUUACGAUCCACAGCAUCAAAACAAUUCAGCUUGGGCUUCUCAGAAAUGUACAAACCCAAUUCAUUGAUAAUUGAGACAGUAAUACUAUUCAGAAGCUAUCCAUUUCUCCAAGUGGAAACCCAAGCCAAGUCCACACAACUUGAGCCGCACAGUAGACAAGAUAGGUUCAUUGGGAGUUCAAUGUUCGCGGGUCACGACUUUGACUCCAUCGAGCAGACAUAAAUCGGAGCAGCCAACAACUUUGACAGACUGCUCGAGAUUCGCGGUUUCCCUGGGCCUGCGAUCGGACCGGGAUCGAGCCCGGGCACUCCAAUCAACUGACGGAAGUGCCUUUUUCGCCAGCGAUCAUGAUCAUGAUGUAUGUUAUUGGCCCCGCACCCGAAGCCUGCCAAUUUGCUAUUUGUCAAAUUUUCAUUAGAUGGCCAUAAAUUGAAAUCACGCGGCAUUUGUUUUUGGUCAGCACACAAAUAAAUUUCGCGCCGCCGCACUAAUUCUCACGAUCUCGGGACCAGGUGAUGGGAUCAAGGAGAGAUGAGGAGUACGGCGGUGGGUAUGCCGGCACUAAAACUUUCUAGCUGUUGACACCAGCUGGUCGCCCGAUCUGAGUUUUGGUCUUGGCCAAUCGCCACCUGCACUUGGGAGUUUGGCAGAUCUGCCAGGGGCCUUACACUCGGAAAAAUAUUACUCAAACGCUUUUGCGACACCAAAUACCCUGGUAGUUUUCUGUCGCCCAUUUGUCCAGUGCAUCGAAUGGUGCUGGAGCAGGAUCUGAGAUGCUGGACCUGGUCCCCACACGCUCGAGUAUGUUGCUUGGCUAAAAGCGAAUUCCAGUUGCAAACCCAUUUUUGGCACGAUCGCCGCCGACCACAAAACCUUUUUGGGAAGAAGCCGCCACAAGGAGCAUUGAUUUGGAGUUGCAGUUGGCUCGGCCAUGGGAAGGGGGCAUUGGGCAUUGCCGGUUGCCGGUUGCCAGAAGGCGGGCAGAACGCACACGUGGAUGCGAUAUGGGC